CCCCUACUGAAUAUGCAUUAGACAUGGUAACGGCAGCGUAACAUAUAAUAAAAGUGGCAUUCCAGCCUGGGGGCAGUAGGAGAGAGAUGAGGAGGGUGACAGAUGAGGAAGAUAAUGGCUACCAUUUCAGGGAUGGUAUUGUUUCUAAUCCUGUAAACCAUUGACCAGCCAUGCUUUAAGAUGAAGAACUCAGAGUUUGGGAUGAAGGGAUCUUAUUGUCUUCCUGGAAGAGGAGACAAGGAGCAGCCUGGAGAGUGACUGGAAAACCCAAAAACUGGAGCGAGGACAUCCUUCUCAUAACUACUGCUGUAGAGAUUGAAUGGGCUGCAGUAUCAGCAGUGUUGAGAGAGGCUUGCAGCAAUAUUCUGGUGGAAUUGUAGCCGGGGUUGCAAGGUCCAGAAGGGUCUCAUUGACAGAUUUCAAUGUCAGACAAUGUUAUACUUCUGAGCAACGUCAGAUUUCUUGUGGCAAUGAAUGUACCAGGAGUGUCCAUCGCUCACCAGGAUUGCCUCCCGGCAUGACAGACAAUGUUUGAAACUGGAGGUGAAAUAGAACUAUUUUAUCUAAGUAUCUCACUAAAUAUCUACCUAUAUAUUUUUUGUUUAAAUUAGGAAGCUAAAGACUACUACUGACUUAGUAACACACAUGCACGGACUGAAUGGACACUCUUAUGUGAAAUCUCUGAUCAAAGAUGCAGGGGCGCAAGCACACCUAGAGUGGAGCACCCAUGAGGAUAUUACUCGUAGAGCAACAAGUUAGGGAACUGAAACAAGUGGAUAGAUUGGAUUUUAGUGAUGUGUAAAGAAAGAUGUAACUUAUAAAAUCACAUAAAUAAUACCAGCUGAA